GACGAACGCUGGCGGCGUGCUUAACACAUGCAAGUCGAGCGGAAAGGCCCUUCGGGGUACUCGAGCGGCGAACGGGUGAGUAACACGUGAGUAACCUGCCCCAGACUUUGGGAUAACCCUCGGAAACGGGGGCUAAUACCGGAUACGACACAGCUUCGCAUGGGGUCUGUGUGGAAAGUUGUUCGGUUUGGGAUGGGCUCGCGGCCUAUCAGCUUGUUGGUGGGGUGAUGGCCUACCAAGGCGACGACGGGUAGCCGGCCUGAGAGGGCGACCGGCCACACUGGGACUGAGAGACGGCCCAGACUCCUACGGGAGGCAGCAGUGGGGAAUAUUGCACAAUGGGCGGAAGCCUGAUGCAGCGACGCCGCGUGAGGGAUGACGGCCUUCGGGUUGUAAACCUCUUUCAGCAGGGACGAAGCGUAAGUGACGGUACCUGCAGAAGAAGCGCCGGCCAACUACGUG
rnacentral:rRNA from 1 species